UACGUAGGGGGCUAGCGUUGUCCGGAAUCAUUGGGCGUAAAGAGCGUGUAGGCGGCCCGGUAAGUCCGCUGUAAAAGUCAAAGGCUCAACCUCUGAAUGUCAGUGGAUACUGCCGGGCUAGAGUCCGGAAGAGGCGAGUGGAACUCCUGGUGUAGCGGUGAAAUGCGUAGAUAUCAGGAGGAACACCGGUGGUGUAGACGGCUUUCUGGACCGUAACUGACGCUGAGACACGAAAGCGUGGGUAGCAAACAGG
rnacentral:rRNA from 1 species